CAGUCGCCGCGGUAAUACGGAGGGUGCAAGCGUUAAUCGGAAUUACUGGGCGUAAAGCGCACGCAGGCGGUCUGACAAGUCAGAUGUGAAAUCCCCGGGCUUAACCUGGGAACUGCAUUUGAAACUGUCAGGCUGGAGUCUUGUAGAGGGGGGUGGAAUUCCAGGUGUAGCGGUGAAAUGCGUAGAGAUCUGGAGGAAUACCGGUGGCGAAGGCGGCCCCCUGGACAAAGACUGACGCUCAGGUGCGAAAGCGUGGGGAGCAAACAGGAUUAGAGACCCGGGUAGUCCCUGUCUCUUAUAC
rnacentral:rRNA from 1 species